rnacentral:lncRNA from 1 species
UUCCAUUUCGAUAAUCUGCAAUACCCAAUCAACUGACUGCUCCCUUUCUUGGAAACAAGACUUUGGGCAGCUCUUCUGAUUGAAGGUUGAAGUUGUGGGUAGUUUUCAGAGUGCGUCAUCAAGACAGGAACUAACACCCUUGUAAGUACUCCCAAAACUUGUUCACAAACUCAUCUGGUGUAGCAGAAACGGCCCUGACCUUUUUUGCAGUGAGAUGAGAAAAACACUACGAGGAAGGAAAUUAGGUAAGUUUAUACCUUUAGCUUCCUCCAGGAUGCUAAUCUCUUCCACCAAGAAGGUCUGCUUUUGUUCACUUUGGAUAGAGAUGGACUGCAAAUUCUCAGAGUAAGCGCUCAGCAUCUCUGCCAGUCUAGCAGUACAAUGCAUUUCCUUUUCAUCUGGAUACUCAUCGAAUUCCCUCUGAUAAAUAUUUUCCUCAGGGACUCUUUGGCAGAAGAUAUGAUACGCAUAAAAGCAGUGACUGCUUCAGGAACCGAUUUCAACUGUAGUGGCAACUUGUUCAGCUCUGCAACACUUGCAGUUAGCUUGUCAUUGAUCUUUCUCACAAUAUCUGGCAAGCAUUUUGAAAUUAUGGUUGCCUGAAUUUGCACCAGUUUCUGGGCUAAAACAGGAAUGCCAACGAUAGACUUGUGGAUCUUGGACAGCAACGGAUGUGUUUCAAAAAGCAUAGCUUCUACAGCUCGAGCUUCCUCGUAUGAUUCAUCGCCAAUUCGAUUUCUCACACAGACGUAUCAAGUCCAAUAUUCACAUCAUCAGCCGUUACCUUCUCGAGCAAGCCUUCAGGGGAUUUGUCGGCCUUUGUGACAACUGCCAGAGUUCUUUCGCCUGUUUUGUCGACUUUUUGGGACAUCCGAAUUGAUUCACAAGUCGAAAAAUCAACAGUAGCUGAUAAAACAUUGAGUAUUAUGCUUUCUUCUGGCUUGAUAUACUCCAUGAUAAUUGCCGAUAUUUGCUCGUAGAUGUCUUCCGGCUGCCCAUGAACUGGAACUCUAGUAAUCCCAGGUAAAUCUACCAUAGUAAGAUCAGGGACACCAUUUUUUUUAACAGUCAAAGUCAAGGGAACAUUUGAUAUUCCCUUACUUUUGCCAGCAAUCUCAUCAGUUGCAACCCUGAUGGCCUCAGCAAUAUGGACCUCAUCGGUUGGAACAAUUGUUCCGUUGAACUCCAAGCUCAGCUCUGGCACGGGACUGGGAUGACUUUGCAGCCUCAUAAUCAAGGAACCCUUGUGCAUAUCCCUUGUCCCCUAGGCAGGCUAAUUCCAGCCAAGGACUCUAGAACGCUGGACUUACCUGAAGAUUGAUCUCCAACAACAACAAUUGUUGGAAGCUGGAUUCCUUCUUGCAUGACUUUAAGGUUUCGUAGCCUGUCUACGCAGUCCAGUAAUGGCCUAAUGCGUUCAUUAUAGGAUGAUACGAUGGGGGCUUGGAUUGCUAGUGGAUCUAUAUGAUCAUGAGCAGCUUCAAUGAGGGCUUUGGUGAUUUCUUCAGAAACAAAAUCGGAGUCAUUGAUUACUGCACCCAUGUUUCUUGUGGCCGUUGGUAUUCAGAGUUUCUACUAUAAUGUCGCAGGUAAGGAUAUCGGGAACUCGGGAGGGAGAAAGGUGAUGAUAGAGCAAGAGAUUUUCAGGUUUGGUGACAGCAAAUGUGGAUUUGUGGAUGAAUUUAUAGGUGAUUUCUGAUCUGAUGUUGAUCUCAGCACUCUCUCUUUUCUCGCAUACUUCUUUUUCUUUUCCUUUUGGUACUGCUUUUGUUGGGACAACAGCAUAGUUGCACGAAAUUUACUUGCCCUGCACUAAUGCUAGAAAUUGGAUAUGAACAAACACAAACAUUUCAUUCUGCUUUUCCUCUGAAAACUAAUCGUGUUCUAUGCUGUAAUUAUUUUGCAAAGUUUGCAAAACGAUUGAUAAAAUUUUUAGAGUACUAAUGGCAACACGCUGUAUAAUUGUGUAAAUUGGUUUUUAUUCGGCAACUGUACAUUAAACAAAUUCUUGUCUUUAAUUUCUAGGGCUAAAUGCAAACAAGAGGAUGCAUAGAAUCAUAUACAAUCUUGCAUAGAACAAUAAUUGCAUGCAUAUAUUAUAGGUAAGCCUUUAGAUUUGUUCCACUCAAAUAUUUUAUAUGUGAUCCUUCUAGUUACUUAAUUAGAGGGCAUAGAUUCUUGUGCUAUCUUUUGAAGUGGUUCGAUUACAAAAUGCAAAUGGCUAGCUCAUGGUCCUUGAUUUACAAAGUGGAAUCUGACGCUUGACUUCCUUUUCUCCUGUCCCUUGUCAUCAGAAAAGCAAAUCCAUCGCUCAAGAAGGAAAAUUAGCUAGAACCCUUCAAUGAUCGUCAAUUAAUUAGUGUUUAAAGAUGUAAUUACUAGUUAUUACAUCAGAAUCAUAUUAUCCGAAGACUUCCAAGGUAAAAUUGCUUAUUUUACUUCAAGUUUAGGUCAUCCUCGUGCUUCACCAUUACGCAAGGGAUCCUCUGCAUCAUGGGAUCAUCCACUAAUGAAGUGUACUGUUGUUUGUUUUGGUGGAAACACAGAAGUGGGAUCAAUUUGUCUGAUCCAUCUCCUUCUUUCAGAACAGAAGCAGGAUCAAUAGCUUAAGAAUUAAGAAAACCCACGACGAAGGAAAGAUUUCGAUCGUACAUAGGUUGGUAAACAUGGCUGGCACGAAAAAGCGAUACAGUAUAUAAAAUUUGACUUCAAAAGCUUGCCCCGCUCUUUCGCCCCACCAUCCAAGGUAGCUAUAACACCUUUUAGGGGGGAAAUUAAUGACAGAAGGAAAAGAUGAAAGGAAAAUUGAACUUCCAAAUGCAACUAUUGUUAAGGGUUAGAGGCACUAAGCACCCUAACUUUGGAGAUAUUUUCACAUUUUUCUUUAACGUUAUUUUUGUUGUAUGUGCCCCUUCUAUUAAGUCACGUCAACUUUUAUCAUUAUUAAAAGGAAAAAGGUCAAAAGUUUCAAUCUUGCCCUUAUCUCCAUUUCCCUUCAUUUUUCUUUUACUUGUCUAAGUUUCUCAUUUCACACCUUUUUCGUAGGUGCAAUUUUUUUUUUUUGGAAAAUUAAGAAUAUGUUUCCAAAAUAUUCCACUUCUAUUUUUUUUUUUUAAAUCUACCAAUAUUAAGCAAACACAAAACUUUGCUAUUGUUAAAAAUAUUGCUCAUUGAUUAUGAACAUCAAUCAAUGGAGGUAAGAUACAAUUGUGGUAAGAUAUCUCUCAAAUACGGGUUAGUGAAAAUAUAAAAAUUUCGACUAAAAAUUUUCUUGUUAAAAUUACAUAGCAUUAUAUUUUUGUAUCUAUUUUAUGAUUUUAUUUUAAAUUUUACGACAGAUUUCAAUGGCAUGUAAUUUUUUAAAAAAGGGGUUGGAACUCGUUUUAAGGACAUUCUACCGAAACAAAAGGAUCGGAUCUUUUUUUCAAGCGUUGUUGUUUCUACACUAAUUUUUACUUUGAAAUCAUUAUUGUCUUUUUUGAUAAACUGUUACUGUUGACCAUUAGUUAAAGGGAGAAAUUACAAUAAAAACAUCCUUAGAGAAAAAAGUGCAAAUGGCAACAAACCUUAGGAGGUUAAGUGCCUGUAACCCUAAGAUUAAUUCUAGUGUUUGAUACUGCUUUGUGACUGCGAACUUGCUACUAUGGAGUUUGCUUUUGUCGAAAUGGGAAGGAAAUUGGAGGGCUAAGUUUUGUUCUGAACUAGACACAAAGUUCUUUAAUUACAUUUUUUUUAACCUUUUACUUCUCUGCAGAUCCUUCUCACUCCCAACUAUCAAUAUUCUUUAAUACUCCCUCCCUUUUUUUAUAACUAACGUUUAAAAAAUUUGCUCUAGUGUACUUUUAUCUGUCGUUUUAUUAUCCAUACAGUAUACAGUAUUAAUUAUUUUUUCACAAUUUUACCCUUUUAUCUCUCUUUUCCAAUACAGGGUUCUUAAUUACUACUCCUAAUAAUAGUUUGGUGAGAGUUAGUUUGCAUUGCUUUUGGCCUAGUAAAACAAUACCAUUUAGUACUCGAGUGAGAGAAAAUAUGGGUGAAUUGGAUAAUUAAUGAGGGUACAAAAGGAAAGUAGUGUACAGAUUCAAGCAAUGAAAAACUUUUCUUAAUUGGUGUGUAAAACCUUAAAUGUCAGUUAUAAAAAAAGGGAGAGAGUAACACAGUAGUAACAUACUUUCACUUUUACGUGUCUAUGACUAUAACUCUUCUGUUUUUGGACCAUAUUUCUAUGAUUAAAUGGAGUAACGGUUUAUGCCCCCUCAUAAAAAUUUCGAGACUGUCUUCCCAAGUCUUCCUUUAUGGUCAUCUUCUUAUUCUUGAAUUUUCACUCGCAUUAUUAUUUUCUCGUCGCUUGUUUCCCAAGUCUUUCCUUUGUCGUCGUCUUCUUUUCUUUUUCACAUCGUUUCCUUUCAGCUCUUGUCAGUAAUGUGUAAUCGCCAAUGAGAAUUGUUACCUUGGAGAGCAAGUGUCAAAAAAUAAGGAAAGAAAUAUCUUCAAAUCUUGUGAUUACGACUUUAAUAGCAUGGUACUAUAUCUGGUGGUUUUUCUCGUUUGAAUUAACUCGGAAAAAGAAAAUUAUUGACUCGUUAACUUCAUGGCUAGUCCAGUCAAGCACGGACAAAUUUACAGAUCUUUGGGCAAACUUUGGCAUUCUUGAUUGGAUUGAAGUUUUUUUGCAGAAAAGCUUUUACGUGAUCGCAUUUCUCAAAUACCCUUUUAUUUCACAUAUAUAAAAUUGUUAUAGUAUAUAUUUUUAUAAAAAAUACAUUUAUGUAUAUAAAAAGACAAUCCAAACGAGUACUUGCGUAGACUAAUUGUCUAACUUCCUCAAAUUUGUGUGUACUUGAUUGGCGGAUUUGUUAUUGUAUCAAAAGAUUGGAUGAACACAAUUACGAAGUGUAUGGAAACAAAGCUCACGGUCAAGGACAAAAUAAUCAGUUAAUUGCAAUGAAAGUAUAGACGACUCCUCCUUCAAGACACAACAAUAAUAUUCCCUUGAGUCCUACCCUUUGUAUAAAUAGGCCGCAAACAAUUCCAACUACUGUGCGAGCAGUUCGAGCCUUACUCGUAAUAUCAAGCUCGAGUUGACCAAAUCGAACUCGAGUUCAAAGUUUGAGUUCAAGAUACUCAAUUCAUUUGCUCACGAGUUGACUCGAAUAUAUACAUAUAUGGUGUGUAUAUAUAUAUUAUUUAAUAGUAAAAUUACGUAUAUAUCCUUAAUAUUUUAUUAUUUGUUAAAAAAUUAUUAUUUUAUUCAUUUAUUGAAAAAUAAAAUAAUAAUUAUUUUUUAUUUUUUUUAACUUGAACUCAAACUUUACAUUGAGAGCUCGUCGAGUUUGAGUUUAAUAAAACUAAGUCGAGAUUGAAUUGAUUAGACCAAAAUUCUAUUUGACUCGGCUCAACUUGUUUGUAUUGUAGAUAAGUUGAUAAAACCAGUCAUUAGAUAGUCAAAUAAGUUGUAAAAGAUUGUUCACUGUGUAAUAGUUCAAGAAUGCCUCGCAAUCAGAAACAAAUAGAAUUAUUUAUGUUUCAACCCUUUUUUUAACUGGCUUCUGAUACAAAACUACAAAUGGAAGUUAUUGAGAGCAAAAGAAUGAGAAUGGGGGAACCCUCCAUUAACUUAAACAACGGCCUUUUGGACCGUUGGCCACACAAAGGCUUCUCAUUCUUUCUGAAAUGGGAGGUCAAGGUUUGAACUUACUUCCAUUAUUUGUCACUUUAUGUGACUUCCCAAAUUCAGUCGGUGGACUAUGUUUAUAUGUACGUCGAUUCGACUCCUGCUCCAGUUAAAAGCAUCCAAUCCGACCAGAGGUGUAUUUACUUCGAGACAUUUGUAAAUUGGAAACUUUGGAAGACUGGGACAAUCGGCACACGGGAAACUUGAAGUCCUCCGUCCUCAACGAACAGGAGAGUUCAAUCCGGAACCUUAUGAUCAUCUAAUCAAUGCUCCUAAGCCUGUCCGGUUAACAAAGUUCUCUCAGAAAGAAAGAAAAUUCAUCAUAACAAACUGGAUUGGGCUCCUCUCCGUACUCAUUCCUUCUGUUUUUCCUUAUCCAUCGUUUGGUAGUACGCAGAAAUAUCCAAAAUUAACAAGUUUUUCUAGCCAAAAUGUUAACGACUCACAAGAAUCUGCAGCAAUUUCCUUGAUUGUCAAUUAACCUUGACGACAAUAAAGAUGUGAAUUAAUGACUUGCAAGAAUCUGCAGCAAUUUCCUGAAUUGCAAUUUAACCUUGAUGACAGCAGUGAUAACAUGUCACGUCAAACUAAAGCAGCGUACAACAGUAAGCAUUGAGAUCCUCUACCGUCACAGUAGUAAAUGCAAAGUGCAGUUAAAGGUAGGAAAUGGGGUAUUUUGAAAUUGAAUGGAGGAGAUUAAAUGUAAAACGCUAAUUUUAAUGUGUCAAAAAAGUUUAUUGCGUCAUUUUACUUUAUUGUAUUAUCGUCCGUAUUUGUUGUGUUAGUAUCUACAUCAAUUAUGUCAUUAUUGUCUAUACUGUAUUGGUAGUCAAUACGAAUGACAGCACAAUCCCCUGAUGGCAAUAGUACAGAGUGUAUUCAAUUUCAAAAACCAGCUUGAAUAUCAGCCAAUAUUCAUGAAUGUGUAUCAGCUUGUAUAGCAUAAAAACUUGCAGUAACCAGCUAAACAUUCAUGAAUUUAAAAAAAGAAUGAAGAAAAAAGAACAAAACAAACAAGAGGGCUCCCAUUGCAAUCGAAAACAUGACCGGAAAAGGCAUAAAGAAGGAAUGAAUCAGGAAAAAGAAGAAUGAGUGAUAGCAGUAUUUGCUGAUCAGAUGGCUAUAAUGCUCCUUGCAGUCCUACCUGAAAAAAGUGCAUCAAGCAGAAUUGAACUUAUAAUAGUAGUUAUCAGUUACUGGUCUGCGGCUGAUGAAAGUAGACAAGAUUUUAUGAGAGGGGCAGGGAACCCCUUAUCAGCUAUGACACGGGUUGGAAUAGGACUGAAUGGGAAGUUGCGGACAAACAGAUCCAGUCACAUUUAGUUCCUUGUAGUAUGGUUUAGCUAGAAAAGCCCGUCUGCAUAUACCGUAAAAGCUUUUUUAAUGCUAGCACGAAUGCUCCGCUCCACUCAAGUUUUAUUGGUAACACAAAAUAGCAAAUUUAAAAAAAAAAAAAAAACAACAAAGCAAUAGUACUUUUACGAUUUUUCAAAUGGCGAAGUAAACAAAGGGUAUUAUGACCAAUCAAUCAGCAUAAGCAGCAAUUUUGUCCAUUAUCUCUGCAACAAUCUCUUUAGACUCCCUCAGCAACUUGAUGCUUCCAUUCAAUCUGUAACGUUUACCAGCAAUAGGUGGAGAUUCCUCCAGCAUCCGUUCCAAUGCACCCCGUGAGUUCCCAUUAACUCAUUCACCAUUUCGGUUUCCAUGUCUUUGUUCACCAGAUUUUGGAUGCUGAAGAGUAAAUGCAAAGCCAUGCUAUCAACCAACCUCCUCAGGACAAUCUUCCAAUAAGCAGUCAUCCUCAUUUUCAGAUCAAAAGCUUCUUGUGCAACGACCAGAUGAUUUCUCAGAUGCCCGACUUCAACCUCACCAAUUCCAUUAAUCUCUAGAGUUGUUGAUUUCGUACAAUCAUUACAACGAUCAUUGAUAAUGUCCAUGAACCUGUCCUGGCUUUCCAUCAGAUCAUGCCAGGUUGCAGAGUACUCAGGAUUACAAGUAUAAUCGGUGAGUUUCUCCAUUUCGAUGAUCUGCGAUACCCAAUCAGCUGACUGCUCCCUUUUUUUGGAAACAAGAUUUUGGGCUGCUCUUCUGAUUGAAGGUUGAAGUUGUGGGUAGUUGUCAGAGUGCUUCAUCAAGACAGGAACUAACACCCCUUGUAAAUACUCCCAAAACUUGUUCACAAUCCAGCGGGUGUAGCGGAAAUGGCCAUGACCAUUUUUUGUAGUGAAGUGCGAAAUGCUUUGCGAGGAAGGAAAUUAGGUAAGCUUAUACCUUUUGCUCCUCCAGGAUGCUAAUCUCUUCCUCCAAGAAGGCCUGCUUUUGUUCAACUUUGAUAGAGAUUAACUGCAAAUCCUCAUAGUAAUCGCUCAGCAUCUCUGCCAGUCUAGCAGUACAAUGCAUUUCCUUUUCAUCUGGAUACUCAUCGAAUUCCCCUCUGAUAAAUAUUUUCCUCAGGGACUCUUUGGCUGAAGAAAUGAUGCGCAUAAAAGCAGUGACUGCUUCAGGAACCGAUUUCAACUGUUGUGGCAACUUGUUCAGCUCUGCAACACUUGUACUUAGCUUGUCAUUGAUCUUUCUCACAAUAUCUGGCAAGCAUUUUGAAAUUAUAGUUGCCUGAAUUUGCACCAGUUUCUGGGCUAAAACAGGAAUGCCAACCAUAGACUUGUGGAUCUUGGACAGCAACGGAUGUGUUUCGAAAAGCGUAGCUUCUACAGCUUGAGCUUCCUCGUAUGAUUCAUCACCAAUUCGAUUUCUCACACAGACGUAUCCAAGUCCAAUAUUCACAUCAUCAGCCAUUACCUUCUCGAGCAAGCCUUCAGGGGAUUUGUCUGCCUUGGUGACAACUGCCAGAGUUCUUUCGCCCAUUUUGUCGAAUUUUUGGGACAUCCGAAUUGAUUCACAAGUUGAAAAAUCAACAGUAGCUGAUAAAACAUUGAGUAUUAUGCUUUCUUCUGGUUUAAUAUACUCCAUAAUGAUUGCUGAUAUUUGCUCAUAGAUGUCUUCAGGCUGCCCGUGAACUGGAACUCUAGUAAUCCCAGGUAAAUCCACCAUAGUAAGAUCAGGGACCCCAUUCUUCUUAACAAUCAAAGUCAGGGGAACCUUUGAUAUUCCCUUGCUUCUGCCGGCAAUCUCAUCAGUUGCAACGCUGAUGGCCUCAGCAAUAUGGUCCUCAUUGGUUGGAACAACUCUUCCGUUGAACUCCAAGCUCAGCUCUGGCUCGGGACUGGGAUGACUUUGCAGCCUCAUAAUCAAGGGAACCCUUGUGCAUAUCCCUUGUCCCCUAGGCAAGCUAAUUCCAGCCAAGGACUCUAGAACGCUGGACUUACCUGAAGAUUGAUCUCCUACAACAACAAUUGUUGGAAGCUGGAUUCCUUCUUGCAUGACUUUAAGGUUUCGUAGCCUGUCUAUGCAGUCCAGCAAUGGCCUAAUGCGUUCAUUGUAGGAUGACACGAUGGGGGCUUGGAUUGCUUGCAUUUCUUCUUGAUCAUGAACAGCUUGAACGAGGUCUUUGGUGAUUCCUUCAGAAACAACAUUGGAGCCGUCUCUUAGUACACUCAUGUUUAAUUUGUCGUGGUUGUUGGUUUUGAGUGUUUCUAUUAUAUUGUCGUAGGUAAAAAGAUUGGGAACUUGGAAGGGAGAAAGGAGAUGAAAGAGCAAGAGAUUUUCAGGUUUGGUGAAAGCAAAUUUGGAUUUGUGAUAAUUUAUAGGUGAUUUUUAUGUCGAUCUCAAUACCAUCUCUUUUCUUGGAAGAAAUAAGGUGUUCCAAGAAUUGAGAUAGAAAUACGAAAUCUAUGAAAAAGUUAAAUGAUCAACCAAGCAAAACAAUAGCAUCUUUUGAAGUAGUUAACUCCAAGGUAAAUCAGCACAGAUUCCUUAACUCGCUCUGCAGAGUGGAAAGCUGAUGCUUGACUUGCUUUUCUCUCCUUUGCCAACUGGAAAGUAAAGUUCAUCGAAAAUCAGCUAUAACCCUUCGAUUGAUCAGCAGACUAAUUAGCGGUGUAAGAUAGAAUUACUUUGUUACACCAAAAUAAAUCGUGACAAUCAAAAGACUUGGGAGGUCAUUAAAUUGCUCUUUUCCUUCAACUUUACGUCAUACUUGUGCUUCACCAUUGGCGUCAUGUUAUGACCUGAUUCCGGAAUGAAGAAAGGAAUUGACGUGGGGUUUAGGAAAGAGAGAAAAUUUAGAAAUUAGGGAGAAUGAGAAGAGCUUAUUGAUUUCAUCUUCCAGAAUGAAUCAGUAGUACACGGGAGUAGCUUAUUUAUCGAGCUUCAAGUCACUUCUUGUAACAGAAUAACUACUUGCUACUACUAGCGUGUUAAGCUGUAACUUCGCUAACUACUUCUAGCACGUGGCUGUGACAUGAGGAUACAGCAAAAAUAUAGCAUUAUUGGAUUAAUUAUACAAGGCAUAACAUUGCUCCCCCUUAAGAAUCCGAGUCCCUAGGAUUAAAAUCUGGAAAUUGUCCCUUGAGCACAAUCCAAUCUUACCACGUUGCUUCUGCAGGAGACAUGUUCACCCAAUCCGCAGUACUUGAGUGACUGCAGAAUUUCCUCUCUUUAUCAUUCUUCUAUCCAAGGUGGCUUGAGGCCACUUUCACAGUGCCAUCAUCUAUAACUUGAGGCAAACUACCACUCACGGAUACACCCUUAGCAACUUUUUUAACAUAGAUACAUGGAAUACAGGAUGAAUGGGAGCAUCUGCUGGUAACUCCAGUUUAUAAGCUCCAACCUUCUGUAAAAUUUUAGAAGGUCCAUAGUUUUGGAUGAAAGCUUCAGAUUUCUUCUAAGUGCUAUAGAGCUUUGUCUGUAUGGUUGAAGCUUCAAGUACACCCCAUCUCCUACUUCAAAACUUCUCUUAUCUGCAUUCUGCUUCAUCUAUUCUGAGCUACCUCUAGAUUUUCUUUCAACAAUCUAUCCCAAUCUUGUCUUCCCUUCACCCAAUUUGUAGCUAUUGAGGAGUUUUCCGCAGAUGGCAACAAGCUAAUUUGAGGGGAGGAUAACCAUAAAGAGCCAUGAAAGGAGUCAUCUAUAAAGCCGAGUGGUAAUUGGUGUUAUACCACCACUCAGCUGCAGUCAACCUCUGUCUCCAUUUGGUGGUUGCUGGAAGGUCAUGCAUCUUAGAUAGGUCUCUAAGCACCUAUUCAAUCUUUCUAUCUACCCGUCAGACUGUGGAUGGUAAGUAGAUGGUAGGUAUAACUCGGUACCCACCUUUUAAGAAUAAGUCCUGCCAAAAAGCACUAGUAAAAACCUUGUCUCUAUCUGAGACUAUGCUAAGAGGUAGGCCAUGUAGUUUGUAAACAUGAUUAAAGAACAACUGAGCUACAUCUUGAGCUGUGUAAUUGCUGGUAGGGAUAUGAAAUGUCCAUAUUUGGUGAAUCUGUCAAUGACCGCCAUAAUGGUAUCAUGCCCCUUAGAUUUGGGAGCCCUUCUAUAAAAUCCAUGGAGAUAUGCUGCCACGCUUGUUUAGGUAUUAGUAAGGGUUGUAGUAGUCCCAGAUAUUUUCCUAAUUCUGCUUUACUCUUUUUACAAGUGUCACAGCCUGCACCAUUUGUUCCACAUCUCUUUUCAUUCCCAGCCAGUAAAAAUACAGCUUCAUUCUAUGAUAGGUACCACUAUUACCGAAAUGACCACCAACUAGAGAAUCAUGCAUGCAUUCCAUCAGCUUCCUUCUCAAAUCAGUAGCAUCCCCCACAAAAAUUCUACCCUUGAACCUGAUGAUACCAUGGUCAUAAGUAUAAUCUGUAAGAGAGUCUCCAUUAGUGGACAGAUUUCAACAAUUCCUUAGCUUUAGCAUCUCCAUUGUCGCUUUGAGUAACUUCCUGGAGCCAUGCAGGCGUCACUAUUGAUAUUGCAUUCAAUUCAUUUUGCUCAUUUUCACCCCUUCUGGACAAGGCAUCAGCAACAAUAGUGUCCCUUCCUUUCUUGUAUUGAAUCUCAUAAUCCAUUCCCAUCAGUUUAGAGAGCCAUUUUUGUUGUAAGGGAGUAGUGAUUCUCUGGUCUAGCAGAUACUUGAGACUUUCAUGGUCAGUCUUAAUUACAAUAUGUGCUCCCAUCAAGUAAUGCCUCCACUUGGUCACUGCUACAAUUAGGGAUAGUAGCUCCUUCUCAUAUAUUGACAUCCCUAGAUUUUUAUUUGCUAGUACCUGACUCAUAUAUGCUAUUGGUCUUCCUUGUUGUAUCAACACAGCUCCUAGAGCUUUGGCUGGCAUUAGUCUCUAGGAUAAAGGUUUAGUAAAGUCCGGUAAUGCUAAUAUAGAACUCAUGACCUAUUUCAACUAGUAGAAAGCAUUCUCAGCUUCUGUACUCCACCAAAGGAAUCCUUUUCUAACAAAUCAGUCAAAGGUUUAGCUAUCAACCCAUAGCUCUUAACAAACCUUUGAUAAUACCUGGUCAACCCAAGAAAACCCCUUAAUGCUUUAACAACUCAGGACGUGGCUAGGAUACCAUGCUCUGUACCUUUGCGGGAUCAGUUACCACUCCGUCCUUGGUGACAAUGUGUCCCAAGUACUCAACCUAUGGCUAACCAAAAGUGCAUUUGGAGAGUUUGGCAUAAAGUUUAUGAUGUCUGAGAGUAUCCAGAACUUGUUUAAGGUGAAUAAGGUGGGUAGUCAAAUAUGGGCUAUAUACUAAGAUAUCAUCAAAGAAGACUAAUACGAAUUUUCUGAGAAAUUGAAUUCAUGAGUGCUUGAAAGGUUGCCGGGGCAUUAGUAAGCCCAAAUGGCAUAACGAGAAUUCAUACAAUCCAGUGUGAGCUCGAAAGACUGUUUUAGGUAUAUGAUUGGGAUGCAUUCUAAUCUGGUGAUAACCAGAUCUGAGAUCAAUUUUGGAAAAUAUUUUGGAACCAUGAAGCUCGUACAAGAGAUCAUCAAUGAUAGGGAUAGGAAAUUUGUCCUUAAUGGUGAUUUCUUUAGCUGUCUAUAAUCAAUACAAAACCUUCAGGUUUCAUCUUUUUUUCUAACUAGCAGGACGGGUGAAGCGAAAGGGCUAUGACUAGGCUGAAUAAUGCCAUUAAUAGAAUUUCUUGAACUUGUUUCUCAAUUUCAUUCUUCUAAAUGUGGGGAUAUCUAUAAGGAAUCAACUUGAAAGGUUUAGAAUCUGGUUUAAGGGGUAUCUCGUGAUCUAAUUGUCUAAUAGGGGGUAGGUGGAGAGUUCUCCAAACACAUCAGUACAAUAAGCCAGGAGUGCACUUAUGGAGUCAUCAGUGUGAGACGUUACCUUAGGAGUGUUAACUGCUAGAACACAGGGCUGUGUAGAGUUUCUUUCUUCUUGUAUCUCAUAAACUUUUGGACAGUUUUUCCUUCCUCAGUUUGAUGUCUGCCUUCUUAAAUCUCCUUGUAGCUUUAUUUCCCACCCCUCCUGAUUAAAGGAGAAUUGCAGAUGCUUGAAAUCAAAAGUUAUAGGACUAUGCUCUCUCAUCCAAUUAACCACCAAUACCAUAUCGUACGGCUCAAUUGCAAGCACAUAUCCAUCAUGAGUGAAUGUAUGCCCUUGUAUUUCUAAGGAUGAUCCGUGGAACCCAGCUACUACACUGUAGCAUCUGCCCAUUAGCCACUUGACUGCGAACAAUUUCCUUGGUACUACUAAUUGAGGAUUUUCCUCGAACACUGAAGCUUCAACAAAAGUGUGAGAACUUCCUCCAUCCCAAAAUAUUGAGAGUGGUUUGCCAUUAAAUUUCCCUUCAGUUUGAUAGUACCCUGCAGCAGCUCGCCAAUCAUAAAGUGGAUGGAAAAUACUACAUCUUUAUGACUAUUGGAAAGAGUUCGAUCGUACAUAGGUUGGCAAACAUGGCUGGCAUGAAAAAGUGAUACAGUAUAUGAAAUUUGACUUCAAAAGCUUGCCCUUGCUCUUUCACGGAUACGGGGCAGGGACGGUCAUCAGAAGGACCGUCCCUGAACAGUUCCCUAACAAACUCUAAUAAGAGGCCCUUAUGCAUCCAUGUUGAUAUAAAUAAAAUGCUCCCGUUUCACUUAGUGAGCAUAAAAAAAUUUAAAAAAAACUUGCCUUAGCCUAAUAGAUUCCACUACUGUCGAAACUUCGUUCCAAAAAAAUCCCGCCCAAAUUGAUUGGGCAUGACUAUCCAUUAAAACUCAAAGCCUAAUGCUCUCCCUCCAAAAAUCAAUCUCUUACUUUCCAUCCAAAAUUUGUCAAUAUAACUCCAUAACUCUAGAACUAGAGCAAAAUAACAUUCAAGAACAAGAAAAUUGCAGACGAGAGUGCCAAAGAAGAGCCAUGGAAAUGUACUAUCACCCAUCAAUCAUUACACUGAGGAGAAGAAGAACUACUUGCUGAAGGAAAAGGUGUUGGAGAUCUGAUAGUAGAAGGUGGUAGGAUUUGAGACAGAGAAACACCCAAUUGCAUCUGCAUAAACCCUUCAGGUAACAAUGUUGCAAACCAAUGACUUAAUUUCAUUUUUUGGUGAAUGGUGUCCAUCUAUUGUACUUGUAGUCUCAUGAAACCCUUUGAAUAGUAGAAGUUAAUUAGUUGAUGGACUGCACAAGAGAGGAGGGUAAAGAAAAAUUUUGCAUGCCAAAUGUUUGCAAAAUAGAAAAAAAAACUUUCAAACCAAUUAGUAGAAAGAGUUAUUACUAGGGGAUGUAUAUGAGAGUAUUUGUCUAGCAAUAACAACAUCAGAUCAACAAUAAAGUCAAGGUUAUAAAGAAACAAAAAAUUUCAAGUUAUAUUUUUCAUUUGUGUCGGUUGUAGGGACAUGUAAUGGUGUAGAUAGAAUUACUGGUGUUUAUGGGUAAUUACAACGAAAUAAAAUAGGAAGUACAUUAAGAAUAAUAGCAAGCAAAGUGAAUGAUUAUAAUGAAUUAUAAGAUGUUCCAGUGAGUAUGCCUUUACAUCAAUACUGGAUAGCAAAAUAAUAUUUGUAAUUAACUGGUGAUAGUGGAGAAACACUUUCAUGCAGUUGGAAAUUAAUAAUCACUUACACUAAAAUGUUCAAUUUGCUUAAAAAAGUCACAAUGAAGGGAAAAAGAAGGAAUAGAGGCCAACAAAAAGAGGAAAAUGCACACAUUAUUAACAUUAAUGAGUGGUAUUUCAUGUUUGAAGAUUAGUACUUAUUCAUAUAAGAACUGUCUAGUAAUUGAAGUGAAUUACUUUAAACUUAAUUGGUAUGAGUAUUUAAAAUCAUUUAUAUAUAUUAGAUUGAAUGUACAUACGGUUCAGUAUGCCUUAUGUAGUGCAAAAAUAUAAUUAUAAGAUGUCUUAGUAGUGUGCCUGUACAUCAUAUUAGAUAACUAUUAUUUUUUAUGAAUAAACAGUGACCGUGGAGAAAUACUUUCAUAUAGUUGUAAAUUAAUAAUCAAUUAAAAUAAUGCCCUGUUAAAGAAAGGUGUGAAGGUUUGACAAUAAAGGAAAAAAAAUAAAAGGAAAUGCACGCAUCAAAUAAUAAUGGUGGUCCCUGUUUCUUGUGGAUUGCUUCAAAGUUGAUUGGUAUUAAUGUAAAUUCUAAUUUUUAUGUGUUAGGUUGAAUGUACAUAUUGUUCAAUAUGCCUUACUUACUGGUAGAAAAUGGUUACAAGAUGGUUUAGUUAAUAUGCCUAUACAUCAUAUUGGAUAAGUAUUGUUAUUGGUGAACAAUUAGUGACAAUCGACAAAUACUUUUAUGUGGUUGUAAUUCAGCAAUGAAGUAACAGGAUGAUGUUGAAGCAAGAUCUACGGGAUUUAUAAUGAAAGGAAAAGAAAUAUAAGGAAGAGAAGCGAGGUGAAGUGUACACACUAUUAAUUUGACAAUUUAUUAUCGCAUGUUUGUUACUUGGUACUUAUUUGUACAUUCCUAGUCUAUGGGAUUAAGCUUGAUUGGAUAAGUGUAGGAUGUAAUAUGUAUGUAUUAGGCUAAAUGUACUCAAUGUUCAAUAUGCCUUACUCAGAUUUGAAUCUAGUAUAUCAUAUUUAGUUGUGAUUUUAUAACGUCAUAUGAAUGCCAGGAAAAAAAAGGAAGCAGGGCAGGGACGGUUAAUAGAGAUCAAUCGUCCCUGAACAAUGUAAUAUUUUUUGAAUAUUUUGUAACUCUAUGUAAAUUUCUUGUACAUCCUUACAACAGAAAUGUGAUAUUUGGUUACUGUUCGUAUAAGUCCUAUAUAUAAUAAUUGUGUUUUUGUUGUUAAAUUUUUAUAAGUUGUUCACAUAAAGUUCCGUUUUGUUUAAAAAAUGUUAUUUUGUUCAGAACGGUUGUUUUGAACAAAGUAAGUAGCCUUUACAAUUUGCAUGAGCAGUGGCAAGAUAGCACGGAAAAAGACAAAGAAGAAUCCAAGAGAAAAGGAAGAAAUAUAAAUAGGGGAACUACCAAACUUGCAGAACCAAUCCCAUCAUUUAUAAUUAGAAAGGAAAAGAAGAAACCAACUUGAGAAGAAGAAAUGAAGCAAGCGAACUCAGCUAAUAGCAUUGUAUAACAGCAUUGAUGGCAGACAACCUAAGGUUCCAUCUAAAUCACUUAAUACGUAAGUGGCUAGUGUUUGUCUCUUGCAACAUCUAUAGAACUCAAUACGUGAGCUUGAUGAUAAUUAUGCGCAACAUGCAAUGGGAAGCAGUCAGGGAAAGAAGAAAAAAAAAUGAAGGUAAAACAUCUUGUUCAGAUUGCCUUUUUUAGUGUGGAAAAAUGGUUACCAGUUAUGUUAAUUAGUAUGCAUACAUCGUGUUAGAUAACUAUUACAUUUUGUGAUAGAAUAGUGAUAGUGAAAAAAAUACUUUGACAUGGUUGUAAAUACACACUUAACUAGUAUAAUGAUAUUAAAUAAAGUCCUAGAAAUUGAUAAUGGAACCCUUGUGAGGAAAGAAAUAGAGACAUAAGUUUACUCUUGUUUGUAAGUUGAAACCCCAAUUAAUUGUGGCAGAUCAAUAAUUGAAACCCACAGUAUGAAAAUUGAUUGGCAUGAAUCUUGGUUCUAAUGCCUAUAUGUUAGGUUGAAUGUACUUGUUGUUCAAAAUGUCUUGCACAUAAUUGAAUCUACCAUAUCAUUACUUUAUCUUGAUUUAGGAAUGUCAGGAAAAAACCUUAUUAACAUGAAAACAACUACAUAGCUAUACCUUCACAGAAAAAUGCAAAUAUUAACUAUACCAAAGUUCUAGAAUACAUUCCAACUCAUUUAGCUAUUUUUCACUAUGCUAUUUCCAAUCUACUUUUUAUAGAUAUGCACAAUCAAGUAACUAACACCUCAUUGAUUAUACCUCAUAGAUCAUGUACAUUUUCAUAAGCUGAUUAAUGCAGAUAUUAACAAACAUUAGUAAUUGUUUACUCUUGUUUAUAUUUUGAAACCUCGACUAACUGUAGUAAUCCAGUAAUUGAAGCCUACAGUAUGAGAAUUGAUUGGCAUGAGUCUUGGUUCUAAUGCCUAUAUAUUAGGUUGAAUGCACUUGUUGUUCAAAAUGUCUUACUCAUAAUUGCAUCUGCUAUAUCAUUUUUAGAACUACUUUAUCUUGAUUUAGGAAUGUUGGGAGAAAAUCUUAUGUAAUUGUUUAUCAAAAAGUUGGUGCAGAUGGCAUAUAAGAGAUUGAGAAGUUUGAUUAAGAAAGCAUCUAGAGAAGAAAAAAGUGAAAAAUUAGAUAAUAGCGAACUUGAAGCAUCAUCAAAAUCCUUGAAUAUGUAAGUUUGUCAAUGCUUUUAUGUUGCACCAGUAUGUUGGUAGGAUAGUGAGACGUGAUUUUUUUCUUUUUCUUUUUCAACAAACGAUAAUAGCUUUAUAAAUAUUAACACUUGAUAAUACAAGAAUUACUUACAAAAGGGGCAACUUGGAAAGUCACUUUCCCAAUCUAUGUCAUUAACUAGCUUUGAUGCAAAAAGUGCUAGCCUAUGACUUGCUAUAUUUGGUGUUCUAGGUACCUAAGAUAUUGUGCAAUGGUCAAAAUCUAGUGUUAGGUCCGCAAUGUCUUCCAAGAUGUUUGCUAGAGUUCCAUCUUGUACAUUGUUGCAUCUGAUGUUGUUUGUGUCUAUGAGACGUGAUUAUUUGAUUGAUUGCAAUUAAGAGUUGUUGAAUCUUAGUCAAAUUGAUAUGUGUUGAACAAAGUAAAUAACCUUUACAAUUUGCAUGAGCGGUGGCAAGAUGGCACGGAAAAUGGCAAAGAAGAAUCCAUGUGAAAUGGAAGAAAUAUGAAUGAGCUUGCAGAACCAAUCCCACCAUUUAUAAUUAGAAAGAGAAAAAGAAAUCAACUUAAGAAGAAAAAUGGAAAAAGUGAAACUAGAUUAACAGCAUUGUAUAACUCUUUUACUUUCUUUUUAUACAUUUUAGUUACUACAAUAUUUGUAAAUUUUGUAUUUCAAUUUAUAGAAAAUGUUAUGUAGUGAUAGGUAAGAAUCCUUGUAGAUAUCAUUGUAAUCAUCAUAGAUUUUUGUUCAAUUUGUAAAUUUGUUUGAAGCAUUAUAUAUAUCUAUUAGAAUUGUUGUAUAUAUUGUUAUGACUAGAUUGUACAUUUGGUUGAUUUUUAUAUGCAUCAUACUUAAUAAAGUUAAGGAUAUUUGUUCAAAGAGCAAUUAAAUGAUAGAAGGAUGCCAAAAUUGACAUCCCAACUGUGUUUCUAAGGUUUUUAGUUUGGAGUUUGACAAAAAUGGAAACGAGUGACACUAUGAUUGGGUGUUACAAAUUUGUUGAUAAAAAUCAAAACGUGUACACUCCACAGAAAAAUGCUAAUAUCAACUACACCAAAGUUUCUAGAAUACAUUCUAACUCACGUAGCUACUUUUUAUUGCAUUAUAUCUAAUUUUUCUUUUAUAAAUAUAUAUAUUCAAGUGACUAACACCUAACAUGAUGUACAUUUUUAUAAACUAAUUGUAACUCAUAAAUCACUCCGUGUAAAGUGCUCACAGAUAAAUUAGUACUACUCAUACAAGUAAAAUUAUGCAUCAAUUAUAGGGAGAUGCACAAGUUGAUCAAAUGGUCAAUAACCAUUUCAAAGUUAUGCUUACCAUUGCACUACCUUUCAUAGAUAUAUACAGAUAAGUAACUAAUAUCUAACAUGAUGUACAUUUUUGUAAACUGAUUGUAUCUCAUAAAUCACCUCGUAUAAGUUGCUUAUAGGUAAAUUAGUAUUAGUUAUACAAAUUAAAUUACACACCUACUGCAGCCUGCAAGAAGAUGCACAAGUGGGUCAAAGCACUAAUAAUCAUUCCAAGUGUAUGCGUACCAUUGCACUAUGCAUGUGGCUGCGAUGACUAAUUGCAAUACGCAUGAGUAAUUACUACUUUUUAAGAUUGUCAUAUAUUGACAACUAAAAUUUUACCUAAAUCCACUACUUUCAUAAUAGUGGUAAAUAACUAGUUAAAUUUUUGUUCAAUCAAAAUGUAUGUAACUUAUAAGUAACCAAAUGUAACUAAUUUUCACUAAUUUGUGAAACAAAUUUUUUUUUUGAACAUAUCAUAAAAUGGACUAAAUAGUUUGUAAGGCAUUAGCAAUGGAAAGUCAGUAAAUACUAACAUGAGAUACAACAUCGACAUGUAACUAAUUAACAAUAAAAAGUAAAUUUUUUUUUGCUAAUUGAUAGAAUAGAGUUAUUGCUUUGAAUAUAUUGUAAAAUAGAUUGAGCUAACCAUAAAAGAUUAAUAACAAAUAGUACUUAAAUAUUAACUAAAUAUACAACACUGAUAAACAGAAUCUAAAAUUAAUAAUUUAACUUUUUUUUCCGCUAAUACAUUGUAAAAUGGAUUGAACAUAUGGUAAUGCAUUAAAAACUAAUUGUAAGUACAUUCUAACUAGUAUUACAAGUCUAGCUUAAUGAACUGUCUAAUUGUCCAAUCUAAUUUCUUUACUCCACCAGCAUUGAUUGAUAUCCAUUGAUUUGUCAAAAGAAACUAUCUUUGCCCAUGAUAUACUGCAAAAUAAAAUUAAUAAGAUAUAAUGUGUUAGCAAUUACAUACAAGGUAUAGUUAAUCAGAUCCCAAUUUAUACGCCUAUAUGAACUCUAUGAACCAAUAAACAACUAUAUAGUAAAUUCAUUCUUACAUUAUGUGUAUGUAUGUGACAGUGUCUAUGGGUUAACAACCAAUUACAAAUUCAAACAAUAGAUUAACUUUUGUAAAUUUAUGGCCAUAUAAGCAUACAUAAGAUAUAGUACUACUCCGUACCUACUAAUAACGUGUACACUCUACAGAAAAAUGCUAAUAUCAACUAUACCAAAGUUUGUGAAAUACAUUCCAACUCAUGUAACUACUUUUUGUUGCGCUAUAUCUAAUCUCCCUUUUACAAAUAUACAUAGUCAAGUAAUUAACACCUAACAUGAUGUACUUUUGAAAACUGAUUGUACCUUAUAAAUGAUCUCGUGUAAGCUACUCAUAGACAAACAAGUAUGACUCGUACAAUUAAAUUUACAUAUCCAUUAUAGGGAGAUGCCCAAGUUGAUCAAAGGGCCAAUAACCAUUUCAAAUUUAUGCGUACCAUUGCACUACCUUUCAUAGAUAUACAUAAUCAAAUAACUAACAUCUAACAUAAUGUACAUUUUAGUAAACUGAUUGUAUCUCAUAGAUCACCCCGUGUACGGUGCUUAUAGGCAAAUGAGUAUUAGUCAUACAAAUAAAAUUACACAACCACUGCAGCCUGCAAGGAGAUGCACAAGUGAGUCAAAACACUAAUAACCAUUUCAAUUGUAUGCAUACUACUACACUAUGCAUAUGGUUGUGAUGACUAAUUGAAAGAUGCAUGUGGACAAAUAACUGUAUGUUUCAACAAUUUCUAUGCAUCAUACUUAGUCAGUAACACAGUGUACAUUAUUUCAACCAGAUUGUACAUUUACUAAAUAUUUAUAUAUAUACAUGCUACUUAUUGAAGUAAACUACCUAUCUACUAAAUAUUUAAUGCAUUCUCAUAAGCACUAAUGGUCAAUUUAAUAGGUGAUUGGAACAAAUAACCAUCUAGUAAAAACUUUUGAUAUAAUGUUAUUGAUGAAUAACAUACCAUACAUUCUGAUAAACAUGGUGUACAUCACGCACCUUAUCUAGACAAAAUCCUACAAGUUAUCAAAAGUCAUGCCAUACUUUAAAAGCAAUUACAAGUAGCAAAAUUUAUACAUGUACAGUCAUAUCAAUAGAUUGUAACUUUUAGCUUGCUUUCUAUAUAUUCAUACAAAUACAAGAAUUGUAUAAUACAUAACUCUUGCUUUAUAACAUAAUUUUCCUAACUAUACUUAACAUUUUCCCCUAGUUGUGUGAAGCUUAAACUUCUUUAUCAAUCUAAUGACUUGGUUAUUUUCAGAGUUACUAAUCGACCUAUGAAUAACCAAAAUUAAGGAUAAGGGUUAGUAGAAUUACCUUCGUCUACCUCUACCAUUGUUUUUCAACCUUACUUCGCCAUCCGGAAUAGUGGUGUAUGUACUCAGUUCUAUUUUGCUACCCAAUAUUUGCUUCAGGAUCGAAAUUGCGAGGCAUUAAUACCUGUUGCAUCUGUCUUCUUUACCCUUAAUCGUCAACAGAUCUCCUCUAUAAUGAUGAAACACUACUAUAGCCUGUUUCUUCAGUUUGAAUAGCCCUUAUCCAUCAAGCACAUAUCCCUCACAACACGUUACUUCUCCAGCUUUAACAAAGAAGGAGAAGGUUAUCUCUCAGUAAUUUUCUCAUCCCCAGUUAGAGAGAGAAAUUAGUUUCCUUGAAGAUAAAUAUGAUGUUGAAUUUUCAAUUCCCGAUUAGAAAGAUAAAGUUGUUUUCUUCAACAUUGUGUUAAAUAGUGACUUUCCCAAUUUUAAGUUGAAGCUAACUAUCAAAUUCAAAAUUUCAUUUCAAAAUUCAAACUUUUGAAAGUUCCGUUUAGUUUAACCCAGUCCGUUAAGAUAAGCCAAGUCAAAUUUUUUUUUUUUUAGAUUUUACUAAUUGGAACGAUAACACUUUUGCUUCUCUUGUGAUCCUUGGCUGUGUGGCUCUUUUUCAGCCACAUAUUUAGGCUUGUGAGGACCGUCCCUGCCCCAUAUGGAUGAGAGGCAGGAGCAGUCAUCAGAUGGACCGCUCCUGAACUGUUAAGGGCCAAGAUUUGGCUAUAAAAAAUUGUAAGGUCCAUAUCACUUCUUGUACAUCGAUUUUCACAACGUGUGUGGAGCCCACAAAAUUUUAUUCUAAAAUUACACAUUGUGCAAAUAAAGUUAUACUUGUGCAAACAAAGUUACGUGGUAUGUAAAAUGCAUAAAACCGCGAAGAACAGUUGCAACCGGCAACCGUUCCUGCCCGUGGUCCACCCUAUAUCCGCUCUUUCGCCCUACUGUCCAAAGUAGCUAUAACACCUUUUAGGGGGGAAAUUAAUUACGGAAGGAAAAGAUGAAUGGAAAAUUGAACUUUCAAAUGCAACUAUUGUUAAGGGUUAGAGGCACUGAGCACCCUAACUUGGAGAUAUUUUCACAUUUUUCUUUAACGUUAUUUUUGUUGUAUUUUGCCCCUUCUAUUAAGUCACAUCAACUUUUGUCAUUAAAAAGAAAAGGUCAAAAGUUUCAAUCUUGCCCUUAUCUCCAUUUCCCUUCAUUUUUUUCCUUGUCUAAGUUUCUCAUUUCACACCUUUUUCGUAGGUGUAAUUUCCUUUUUUUUUUUUGAAAAUUAAGAACUAUGUUUCCAAAAUAUUUCACUUCUAUUUUUUUUUAAAAAAAUCUACCAAUAUUAAGCAAACAGAAAACUUUGCUAUUGUUAAAAAUAUUGCACAUUUAUUAUGAACAUCAAUAAAUGGAGGUAAGAUACAAUUGUGGUAAGAUAUCUCUCAAACACGUGUUAGUGAAAAUAUAAAAAUUUUGACAAAAAAUUUUCUUGUUAAAAUUACAUAGCAUUAUUUUUUGGUAUCUAUUUUAUGAUUUUUGUUGUACAUGAAAUGAUUUUAUUUUAAAUUUUACAAUAGAUUUCAAUGGCAUGUAAUUUUUUAAAAAGGGGUUGGAACUCGUUUUAAGGAAAUUCUUCCGAAACAAAAGGAUCGGAUCUUUUUUUCAAGCAUCAUUUCUUCACUAAUUUUUACUUUGAAAUCAUUAAUUUCUUUUUUGAUAAACUGUUAUUGUCGACCAUUAGUUAAAGGGAAAAAGUACAAUAAAAAUAAUGUUAGGAAAAAAAGUGCAAAUGGCAACAAACUUUAGGAGGCUAAGUGCCUUUAACCCUAAGAUUAAUUCUAGUGUUUGAUACUGCUUUGUCUGUGACAGCCCCACCUCCCACUAAAGCGAACCAAAGGGUUCGGCGGACCGCUUGUCCAACUCUCGCAGGGACUCAGUCGUUCACUUCAAUUCUUAAUCAAAACCAGAAUAAAAUCACAGGAAUAAACAUAACAACGAUCCAAAACUUAAAGCAAAACUUAUAUACAUUGCUAUCUCAAAAGGGAGUACAAAUAUCGAAUAUACAAAAGUUAUCAAUUCUUCAUACAUCCAACCCGUGCCAAGCGCUUGGGCGAGAACCAUUACAAAAUCAGAGAUCCAGCCUAAGCUAGUCUAUACAAAACUCCUGUCCUGGUUCGCCUUCCCCUGUUAAGGAAAACGAAACUAAAGGAAUGAGUUAAAAGUUCAGUGAGGUUCCGAACACAUAAUCAAACAGUCAAUUCAAUACAUUAAACAUAGAAUAUCAAUAUUUCACGAUAAUAACACAUUCAUUAAAAGAAUACGGGCUCACAAGGAGCCAUUCAUUCGUUCGUUCAUUCAUUCUCCUAUCAUUCCCCUUAUUCCUCCAAUCAUUUGAAAAUGCGUUUUUGUAAGUAAAACCCUCGUUCGUUCAUUCGUUUCAUUCACCCCCUUCUUGGACGUUGUCCAGGCUCCACCAGAAUUCAAGGUAAUACUCGAGUAUACCAAACGUUCACACCCAGGGUUACCAUAUCGCCCGAUCGAGUCCGCUUCUGGCCCGAGUCGAUCGGUAACAAAGCGUAGGGUCCAGUUCAGCCAAAAGGCUUACAUCAUGCACAUGUAACAUUUCAAUCAUUAAAUCAUUGAAAAUUUCACAUUUUAUUUAGGUCGAGCGCGAUAAAGUACACACUCACCUAAAAAACUCGUUUUGAAAAUCCUGAAAAGCACUUAACACAUUGUCAAACAAUAACACAAGUUAUGAAGUCAAGAAAAAUAUAGCAAACAAGGAACACUCACCUAUUUAUGCAAAAUAACGUGCAAAAUAUCCUUCCGGGUCUUACCCUUAGUCAUCGAGAAAACCUAAAAUUAAACGAGAAAGAAUAUUACAGUUUAUCUAGCAAAACAAUUAUGUGAAAUCGAGAAAACCCGACUAAUUACGAGUAAAACGUAUAAAGAUGACCUUCAAGUGAAAAGCGGGUAUUUGGAUCUGUGGACAGAAAUAACUAGGGUUUCAUAAACCAAACUUAAAACUAAACUCAAAAGGGUUAUAAAAUUUCUAACGGAAAACACUUGGACCAAAGACAAAUCGGAAUCCAACUAGAUAAACUAAAGAAAUAUGUUUUUUUUUGAAUCAUUUGGGUAGUUCAAAAUCAAUAUAUAAUCAAGUAAAUAUUAUACAAAAAAUAUCUUGAUGAAAAGCAUGUGAAAAGGAGGACAAAAAUACCUUAACUUCACACUUAAACCCUUACUUGAAAGUAGUUCAUUUGUGGUCGAGAAAAUCGUAGUUCAUACCUCUAUAUUUUGGUACGGAGUAAGUAAACAUUUGAAAUUUCAAAUUGAAGAGGUAUCAUGUUUUAAAAUGAUAAAACGAUCAUAAUAUUUACCAAGUAGAAAUAUAGGAGUUCAAAUGAAAAAUAUGUUUUCGAACACCCUUCGAGAGCAUCAAAGUAGUUUUCCCAUGAAAUACGCCCAACUUGACUCAAAACACAUUUCUAAAACCAUUUUAACUCACUCACAUUACAAGAAAAUAAACGGACGGUAUUUCCCUCUAAAACUUCAUUUUCUUCCUACAAACAAAUACCCAAACUUGCAAGAAUCAAACACAAUCACACAUUCGGUUUAUAAACAAUAAAACACGUCCAAUUAGGCCACACUAUCCUUCAAUUAAAGCCAAUUAGAAGCUCAAAAGCCUACCAUUAGAAAAUCCCCAAAUUAAACCCUAGAAACCGGAAUUUAUUCCCACAAGCAGAAAUUUUCCGCAAACAACCGCAAUUAACGUAUAAAGGUCCCAUUUAACACCAUUUUAAUCCAUCAAUCCAAGACCAACCCAUGACUAUCAUAUAAAAUCAGAAAAAUACUCAAUAAAUCAGAAAUUGAACCAACUUAACUUAAAACCAUGAAAUCAUCCACAAUAUAGCAUCUCCAACCUUUACAAACCACUAAUUAACCAAUAUUAGCACCAAAAGAGAAUUUCUUAACAACUCACCUUAUGAGCUCAAGAAAGGUAGAAACUUAAGACUUCCCCUCCAAAAACAACUCCACCAAGACCUCUAACCCUGCUUAGCUAGUGCUUGUAGGGAGUAGUUUGAAAAUUCAACGGUGAAAUCUCAAUAUUUGAGCAAAAAUUGAAGAUAGAAAAUGAAGAGCUUUCUUGGUUUUUCUCUCAAGCUAGCCGGUCAAGCAAGGAGCAAAAUGAAGAUAUUUUAGGCCAAAAGUAGGACAAGAAUGAAAGAAACAGCCGGUCAAAGCUGGUGACCGACUGUGACACGUCACAAUCCGGCCAGAUUCCUGGGCGGAUACAGGGCAGAGGCGAAACCAAUUUUUUUUUUUCAAAAUCCUCAAACAAUCCGGCCAAGAUCUGGCCAGAUUUGCGGCCGGAUUUGGUACCAAACAUUUUCAAGAAAAAUUUUCUUUUCUAAACUCACACGCCGUGUUCAUCCGUACUUCCAACGAAUAUAUAUAUAUAUAUAUAUAUAUAUAUAUAUAUACAUAAUCUCACGCAAAUUCAUUUGAUAUACACAACCACAUACUCACAUUUAUAAAUAAAACCUCUUUUUAAAACAAAUGGUUACCAAAUUUUCAUUUGAAACGGAAAGUGAGAAUAAAGAAAAGGUUAAGAAAACGUGAAAAUUUUUAGGGUUCUCACAUUGUCACUACGAACUUACUAGUCCGGAGUUUACUUUUGUCGAAAUGGGAAGGAAAAUUGGGGGGCUAAGUUUUGUUCUGAACUAGACACAAAGUUCGUUAAUUACAUUUUACUUCUCUGGGAACCCAUCUCACCCCCAACUGCCAACAUUCUUUAAUUACACAGUAGUAUCAGAAUCGUGCUUUCACUUUUACGCGUCUAUAACUCUUCUGUUUUUGGACUAUAUUUCUAUAAUUAAAUGGAGUAACAUUUUAUGCCCCCUCAUAAAAAUUUGCGAGAUUCUGAUAUUUAAUAGUUUUUGCACUACAAAUUACAAAAAUCCCGCGUGGCAUUAACCAUACAAUAAUAUUACGCUAAAAAUGGGCUUGGGGAAGUUCAUGCUACAUAAAUCAUACGUUGAGAGAAGAAUGAAGAGGUUCUUGAAAGCUGUUCUUAUUUCUUGAUUAUUACUUCUUCUUUUUUUUUUUUUUUCCAUGAGUCUUUUAACUUUCAUCACUUAAGAUAAUAAGUUAUUAAGACUGGAAAUUGUUUGUUGAAUCAAUCUACCUGCAGGUUUUGAGUCUUCCCAAGUCUUCCUUUAUAGUCAUCUUCUUAUUCUUGAAUUUCACUCACAUUAUUUUCUUGUCACUUGUAAAGGAGUCUUCCCACGUCUUUCGUUUGCCGUCGUCUUCUUUUUAUUUUUCUUUUUCACAUCGUUUCCUUUUCAGCUGUUGUCAGUUAUGUGUAAUCGCCAAUGGGAAUUGUUACCUUGGAGAGCAAGUGUCAAAAAAUAAGGAAAGUAAUAUCUUCAAAUCUUGUGAUUACGACUUUAAUAGCAUGGUACUAUAUCUGGUGGUUUUUCUCGUUUGAAUUAACUCAGAAAAAGAAAAUUAUUGACUCGUUAACUUCAUGGCUAGUCCAGUCAAGCAUGGACAAAUUUACAGAUCUUUGGGCAAACUUUGGCAUUCUUGAUUGGAUUGAAGUUUUUUUGCAGAAAAGUUUUUACAUGAUCGCAUUUCUCAAAUACCCUUUUAUUUCAUAUAUAUAAAAUUGUUAUAGUAUAUUUUUUUUUAUAAUAAUAUAAAAAAAAAGACAAUCCAAACGAGUGCAUGUGUAGACUAAUUGGCUAACUUCCUCAAAUUUUGUGUGUGUUUGAUUGGCGGAUUUGUUAUUGUAUCAAAGAGAUUCGAUGAACACAAUUAUGAAGUGUAUGGAAACGAAGCUCACGGUCAAGGACAAAAUAAUCAGUUAAUUGCAAUGAAAAUAUAGAUGACUCCACAAUAUAUACGACUCCUCCUUCACAACAAUAUUCCCUUGAGUCCUACUCUUUGUGUAAAUAUGGCUGCAAACGAAUUCAGCCACUUGCGAGUAGUUCAAGCCAAAACUCGACCCGAGUUUGGUUAACGAACUGAUCAAAUCGAACUCGAACUUAAAGAAACUCAAUUCGUCAACUCGCAAGUUGACUCGAAUAUAUAUAUAUAUAUAUAAAUUAUAUAUAUAAUUUUAAUAGUAAAAUUAUAAUAUAUAUAUAUAUAUAUAUAAGUUCUUAAUAUUUUAUUAUUUGUUAUGAAAAAUUAUUAUUUUAUUCAUUUAUUAAAAAAUAAAAUAAUUAUUUUUUUAUUUUUUUUAUCUCAAGCACAAACUUUACAUUGAGAACUCGAGCUCGAAUUCGAGUUUGAUAAAACUAAAUCGAGACUCGAUUCGAUUAGGUCAAAAUUCGAUUCGACUCAACUUGUUUGCAAAUAAGUUGUUAUCAGAUAAGUUGAUAAAACCAGUCAUUAGAUAGUUAAAUAAGUUGUAAAAGAUUGCUCACAGUGUAAUAGUUCAAGAAUGCCUUUCAAUCAGAAAAAAAGUAAAAUUAUUUAUGUUUCAACCCUUCUUUCAACUUGCUUCUGGUACAAAACAACAAAUAGAAGUUAUUGAGAGCAAGAGAAUGAGAGUGGGGGAAUCAACUCCAUUAUCUUAGACCAAUGGCUUCUUGGACUAUUGGCCAUCACAAAGGCUUCUCAAUUCCUUUUGAGGUGGGAGUUCAAGGUUUUGAACCUUGCUCCUAUCAUUUGUCAUUCUAUGUGACUUCGCCAAAUUCAGUCGGUGUCGGUUUAGUUUUCUCUGGUUCUUAAUGACCUAGUUGAAUCUAUUCCCAUUUUCAUAGAGUAGAAGUAAGUGUAGAUUGUUGACGUUUGUAUGGGAAAAGAAAAAAAAAAAAAAAAAAACCUCCGUUAACUUAAGAUGGGGAUUUGGGGAUUGGGUAGAUAAGUCCCGAAUUUGGCCUCAGGAGUUACCACUAUGGCUUUUGAGGUUAAUUUGGGAUUAGGUUUAACUACUAAUUCUUAAAAUUUCUGAUAAAAAAAAACUUAAGAUGCCCAUUGUAUUGGGCUAACCCAGAGCUUAGACCAAAAACAUUUUCGUGGACUAUAUGUUUAUAUGUACGUCAAUUUCGGACUCCUGCUCCAGUUAAAAGCAUCCCAAUCCUGAGCAGAGGUGCAUUUACUUCGAGACAUUUGUAAAUGGGAACUUUGGAAGACUGGGACAAUGGGCACACAAGGAAACUUGAAGUCCUUAUGAUCAUCUAAUCAGUGCUCCUUAACGAACAGGAGAGUUCAAUCCGGAACCUUAUGAUCAUCUAAUCAAUGCUCCUAAGUCCUAUCCGAUUAACAAAGUUCUUCUCAGAAAGAAAGAAAAUUCAUCAUAACAACUGGAUUGGGCUCCUCUCUAGUACUCAUUCCUUCUAGUUUUCCUUAUCCAUCGUUUGGUACACAGAAAUAUCCAAAAUGUUAACGACUCACAAGAAUCCGCAGCAAUUUCCUUGAUUGUAAAUUAACCUUGACGACAAUAAAGAUGUGAAUUAAUGACUUGCAAGAAUCUGCAGCAAUUUCCUGAAUUGCAAAUUUACCUUGAUGACAGCAGAGAUAACAUGUCAUGUCAAACUAAAGCAGCGUACAACAGUAAGGAUUGAGAUCCUCUACCGUCAAAUUAGUAAAUGCAAAGUGCCGUUAAAGGUAGGAAAUGGGGUAUUUUGAAAUUGAAUGGAGGAGAUUAAAGGUCAAACGCUAAUUUUAAUGUGUCAAAAAAGUUUGUUGUGUUUUUUCACUUUAUUGUAUUAUCGUUCAUAUUUAUUAUGUUAGUAUCUACAUCAAUUAUGUCAUUAUUGUCCGCACUGUCUUCAAUACCAAUGACAGCAGAACCCCCUAAAAACAUGCUUGAAUAUCAGCCAAUAUUCAGGCCCCAUAUCAUAUGCAUGUGUAUCAGCUUGUAUAGCAUAAAAAUUUAAGAAGUCUUACAGUAACCAGCACAACAAUCAUAAAUUUAAAAAAAGCAAUGAAGAAAAAGAACAAAACCAACAAAAGGGCUCCCAUUGCAAUCGAAAACAUGACCGAAAAGGCUUAAAGAAGGAAUGAAUCAGGGAAAAGAAGAAUGAGUGAUAGUAUUAUUAGCUGACCAGAAUUGAACUUAGAGUAGUUAUCAGUUACUGGUCUGCGGCUGAUGAAGAGUAGACAAGAUUUUACGAGAGGGGCAGGGAAUCCCUUAUCAGCUAUGACACGGGUUGGAAAGAUAGGACUGAAUGGGAAGUUGCGGACAACAAAUCCAGUCACAUUUUAGUAUUGGAAUCCAAACACAUCCUGGAGGAAGUUUUUUAAUGCUAGCACGAAUGCUCCACUCAUGUUUUAUUGUAAACAAAUAGCAAAUUAAAAAAAAAAAAAAAAACAAAGCAAUAGUACUUUUACGAUUUUUCAAUGGCCAAGUAAACAAAGGUAUUAUGACAUUCAAUCAGCAUAAGCAGCAAUUUUGUCCAUUAUCUCUGCAACAAUCUCUUAGACUCCCUCAGCAACUUGAUGCUUGCAUUCAUCUGUAACGUUUACCAGCAAUAGAUGGAGAUUCCUCCAGCAUCCGUUCCAAUGCACCCCUGUGAGUUCCCAUUAACUCAUUCACCAUUUCGGUUUCCAUGUCUUUGUUCACCAGAUUUUGGAUGCUGAAAGAGUAAAUGCAAAGCCAUGCUAUCAACAACUCCUCAGGACAAUCUUCCAAUAAGCAGUCAUCCUCAUUUUCAGAUCAAAAGCUUGUUGUGCAACGACCAGAUGAUUUCUCAGAUGCCCGACUUCAACCUCACCAAUUCCAUCAAUCUCUAGAGUUGUUGAUUUCGUACAAUCAUUCAUAGAUCAUGAACCUGAACCUGUCCUGGCUUUCAUCAGAUCAUGCCAGGUUGCAGAGUACUCAGGAUUACAAGUAUAAUCAGGUGAGUUUUUCUCCAUUUCGAUAAUCUGCAAUACCCAAUCAACUGACUGCUCCUUUUUUGGAAACAAGACUUUGGGCAGCUCUUCUGAUUGAAGGUUGAAGUUGUGGGUAGUUGUCAGAGUGCUUCAUCAAGACAGAACUAACACCCCUUGUAAAUACUCCCAAAACUUGUUCACAAAUCCUGCUGGUGUAGCGGAAAUGGCCUGACCAUUUUUUGUAGUGAAGUGAGAAAAGCUGUGCGAUGAAGGAAAUUAGGUAAGCUUAUACCUUUAGCUUCCUCCAGGAUGCUAAUCUCUUCCUCCAAGAACUUCUGCUUUUGUUCAACUUUGAUAGAGAUGAACUGCAAAUCCCAUAGUAAUCGCUCAGCAUCUCUGCCAGUCUAGCAGUACAAUGCAUUUCUUUUUCAUCUGGAUACUCAUCGAAUUCCCCUCUGAUAAAUAUUUUUCUCAGUGACUCUUUGGCUGAAGAUAUGAUACGCAUAAAAGCAGUGACUGCUUCAGGAACUGAGUGCAACUGUUGUGGCAACUUGUUCAGCUCUGCAACACUUGCAGUUAGCUUGUCAUUGAUCUUUCUCACAAUAUCUGGCAAGCAUUUUGAAAUUAUAGUUGCCUGAAUUUGCACCAGUUUCUGGGCUAAAACAGGAAUGCCAACCAUAGACUUGUGGAUCUUGGACAGCAACGGAUGUGUUUCAAAAAGCGUAGCUUCUACAGCUCGAGCUUCCUCGUAUGAUUCAUCUCCAAUUCGAUUUCUCACACAGACGUAUCCAAGUUCAAUAUUCACAUCAUCAGCCGUUACCUUCUCGAGCAAGCCUUCAGGGGAUUUGUCUGCCUUGGUGACAACUGCCAGAGUUCUUUCACCCAUUUUGUCAACUUUUUGGGACAUCCGAAUUGAUUCACAAGUAGAAAAAUCAACAGUAGCUGAUAAAACAUUGAGUAUUAUGCUUUCUUCUGGUUUAAUAUACUCCAUAAUGAUUGCUGAUAUUUGCUCAUAGAUGUCUUCAGGCUGCCCGUGAACUGGAACUCUAGUAAUCCCAGGUAAAUCCACCAUAGUAAGAUCAGGGACCCCAUUCUUCUUAACAAUCAAAGUCAGGGGAACAUUUGAUAUUCCCUUGCUUCUGCCAGCAAUCUCAUCAGUUGCAACGCUGAUGGCCUGAGCAAUAUGGUCCUCAUCGGUUGGAACAACUCUUCCGUUAAACUCCAAGCUCACCUCUGGCUUGGGACUGGGAUGACUUUGCAGCCUCAUAAUCAAGGGAACCCUUGUGCAGAUCCCUUGCCCUCUAGGUAGGCUAAUGCCAGCCAGUGACUCUAGAACGCUAGACUUUCCUGAAGAUUGAUCUCAACAACAACAAUUGUUGGAAGCUGGAUUCCUUCUUGCAUGACUUUAAGGUUUCGUAGCCUGUCUAUGCAGUCCAGCAAUGGCCUAAUGCGUUCAUUGUAGGAUGAUACGAUGGGGCUAGCGUUUCUUCUUGAACAGCUUGAACGAGGUCUUUGAUCAUGGACAGCUCGAACGAGUUCUUUGGUGAUUUCUUCAGAAACAACAUUGGAGCCGCUGCUUAGUACACUCAUGUGUAAUUUCUCGUGGUUGUUGGUUUUGAGUGUUUCUAUUAUAUUGUCGCUGGUAAAAAGAUUCGGAACUUGGAAGGGAAAAAGGAGAUGAAAGAGCAAGAGAUUUUCAGAUUUGGUGAUAGGAAAUUUGGAUUUGUGGAUACUUUAUAGGUGAUUUUUUAUGUUGAUCUCAGUACCAUCUCUUUUCUUGGAUGAAAUACGGUGUUCCAAGAAUUGAGAUAGAAAUACGAAAUCUAUGAAAUUAGUUAAAUGAUCAACCAAGCAAAACAAUAGCAUCUUUUGAAGUAGUUAACUCCAAGGUAAAUCAGCACAGAUUCCUUAACUCGCUCUGCAGGGUGGAAAGCUGAUGCUUGACUUGCUUUUCUCUCAUCCUUUGCCAACUGGAAAGUAAAAGUUCAUCGAAAAUCAGCUAUAACCCUUCGAUUGAUCAGCAGACUAAUUAGCAGUGUAAGAUAGAAUUACUUUGUUAUAUCAUACCCAAAUUAAUCGUGACAAUCAAAAGACUUGGGAGGUCAUUAAAUUGUUCUUUUCCUUCAACUUUACGUCAUACUUGUGCUUCACCAUUUGCGUCAUGGGAUCCAAUAAUGAGUGUACUAUUGUUAAUUUAUUAUUCCUUCUGGUGGAAAUUGGAAACAAGCUAGUGGGAUCAAUUGACUUCUUUUCUUUGGCCAUGACAAAGGAAAAUGUUCGAUCUUACAAAGGUAGGCAAACAUGGAAAAAGCUUGCACCCCCGCUCUUUCGCCUCACAAUCCAAGUAGCUAUCACCAUUUAGGGGGAAUUAUUUGACAGUCUUUUGUGUUUGAAUUGAUUUUUCUGAAUUUUGUAAAAAAAUUAUUGUAACGAUUUGAUAAGUGUGAAAUAAAAAGGUGAUUCGGAAUUGUGUUUACGGAACCCCACAAUCCAAAGUAGCUAUCACGUUUAGGGUGAAUUAUUUGACAGUCAUUUUGUGUUUGGAUUGCAUUUUUCUGAAUUUUUUAUAGAAAAAUUAUUGUAACGAUUUGAUAUAUAUGAGAUAAAAGGUGAUUCGGAAUUGUGUUCACGGAAAACAUUCUAAUGCAAUCAUUCACGGAAUUGUGUUCACGCAAUUUUUCCAAACAUUCUAAUGCAAUUAAGAUUAAUGUGAAGAAUCCUAUUCCUAGGCUGUAAGAACUAAGAAGACCGAAAAACAUAAUGCAUAAAAUAGUCAAUUGUUUUCUAACGCAAUUAUAUUGUAUUCUUUACGUUAGCUGAAGAAUGAAGAGGUUUUUAACAUUAACAAUUGUGCUUAUUUCUUCUUUCUUCACGAGUCUUUUAACUUUCACUUAUGAUAAGUUAGAGGAAAAAUGGCCAAUUUUGUCCUUAAUUUUUUUAAGGGUGCUAAUUUAGUCCCUAACUUUUAUUUCUGAUCAAUAUGAUAUUUGAACUUAUGGUGCAUCACUAGUUAAAAACGAUCUUACUUCUCAUUGGCUAAUUAAAUAGUGGUAUUACGAGAACAUUACUCACGAGAAUGUAAUAAAACAAGCAAAUCGUCUAAAAAAUCACUAAUAAAACUUUUAAAUUGUGUAAAAAAAUCACCAAAUAAACUUUUUAAAGUUUAAUCUUGUGACUUUUUACUAUACAGUUUCGUAAGUGACGUUUUCAAAAUAUCUUCUUUAGUUGGUCAAUUAGGAGUCAGAUUGGUUUUAGGUGGCACCGCCACCAUGAAGGUCCUUAAUUGGAACUGCAAUUAAGUUCGCAUAUUAAAUUGAUUAGAAAUAAAAGUUAGAAACUAGACGGCACUAGUAAAAAGUUUAGAACGAAAUUGGUCAUUUUCCCUAAAAGAUAAGACUGGAACAUAUUUGUUGAAUCAGUCCAGCUAUGUGUAAGUUUCAAGUCUUCCCAAGUCUUCAAUAGUAAUGUGAUUACGACUAAAUAGCAUAGUACCUAUAUCUAGUGGUUUUCUUGAUUGAAUUAACUCAGAGAAAGAAAACUAUAAUAUUGUCUCAUUACAUUAACUACAUGGCUAGUCUAGCCAAGCAUGGCAAAUUACAGAUCUUCGGGCAAACUUUGGCAAUUUAAAAGGUCUUGUUUAUAUUGAAGAUUUUUUGUAGAAAAAUUUUUACGUUUUUCGUGAUUUCAUUUUUCGGAUACUUUUUUAUCUCGCAUACAUCAAAUUGUUAUAGUAUAUUUUUUGCUUAAAAUUCAAAAAAUGAUGAUCUAAACGAGACCUAAGUAUGUGUAUAGACUAAUUGGCUAACUUCUUCAAAAUUUUUGUGUACUUGAUUUGGCGGAUUUAUUAUUCUAUCAAAGAGAUUCGAUGAACACGAUUAUGAUGUGCAUGGACACGAAGCUCACGAUCAAGGCUAAAUAAUCAGUUAAUUGCAACGAAAAUGUAGAUGUCUCUACAAUAUAUAUACACUAUUUCUUUACAACAUUAAUAUUCCCUUGAGUCCUACCCUUGUGUAAUACUAGUAUUAGUUUUGUGAACCAAUGUAAAAAAAAAAAAAACAAUAUAGUCAAAUAUCCUCUAGUAUUAGUUUCGCUUGAACAAUAGUCGUUUCUCUUACCCAAACAAGAGGACUAUAUAAUCCUAAUAUUCUAACAAUGAGAAAUAAAUUACUCCCUCCGUCUCAAUUAUUUUGUCAUGUUUCGAGAAUCCAAUAUUCUAAAAAUAGUGAUUUAAUUAUGAUGCUUGUAUUUUUUUUCUCAAUUUUACUCCCACAAAUUCAAAAUAUGAAUUUGAAUAAUAAUAUGUAUAUGCUUAAAGGGAGGAACUAUAUUGGAAGUAGAGACUAAAUAAUGUUUUAACUUUCUGAACAUUACAAAUACUUUGAGACAUUCCAAAAUGAAAAAUAUGACAUUUCUACGAAACGGAUGGAGUAAUUCGUACCGAACAAAAAGUCUAGCCAAAAUAUCCAAUACAUGAUGUGAUAGCUCAAUCUUCCUUAGGGCGUACGCUAAGGUUAGCGGAUUGUCUGCUCAACUCUCGUCAGGAUUAACUAAUCCAAAAUUUUCAGUAGGUAUUAAAACAAACAACAUAAUUUCAAAACACCGCAACCUAAAGUUAUAUACAAUUCAAGCUUAAAAUACAAGUUAAAAUAUUUAAUUUUAUACAAAUACAUAUAAGGUUUAUUAAUACAGAAGAGUUUAAACAAAAUGUCUAAGGUUUAAACCUAGCUCAACUCUUUCCCAAAAUCACCAACCCAAAUCUUUGCCCCUGAAAGGAAAACAAGGAUAACGGAAUGAGCUUUCGCCAAUGUGAUACCACAGGUUACGCAAUCAAAAAUCACAUAAUUCGAACUUUAAACUAUCAAAUAUAAGCACCAAUUAGGGAGAUAAGUAAACACCACAACUAACACAAAGUGCUUCAAAUAAAAAGAUACAGUUGGCUCUCAGGAGCCAAAUUCUCAAUCGCAUUAGUUUGAUCCAAAUCCGUUGACACUCCGUCAACGUUUACAGAAACAGAAAUAUUGACCGUAGAUCCCUGCUUUACACCAGUUUCCGUCUACCAAUCAUACCGUUACCUGGUCCAAACACCAAACAGAAACAGUGGUGGUAAUAUUCGAGUAUAUCAAAUAUCAGAAGAAUUCAAACUCUGAUACCACCUAUGACGACCCCACCUUCCCCUAGGACGUGGCCUAGAGGUUAGCGAACCACCUGCCCAACUCUUGCCAAGACUCACUCACUAACAUUAAUUUCAGAGAUCACAUUAACUCCAAAGUAAGCACGAAACUCUCUAAGAAAUGUUACAAAUCAUCCAACUUCAUAAAACAUCCAUACUUAGGUGGACAACUAAACAGAUCAAAAUACAAGUAGUUCAAUCAAAUCACUAAAUAUAAAUAGGAUGGCAUUUACUUAAAAUGAGGACUACAACUUUUCAACUCACUAUUUUUUGGAUAUCAAAUCAAUAACACCAUAAUUUUUCAAUAUAGCAUCUAUAAGCUACAAAUCGUCCAAAUACACAAAUCAAAGUACAAACCAAAAGAUAAGAACUUGAACAUCUAGUAUCAUAGUACAAUGUCAGCCAAAUACAAGUUUAAAAUUUCUAUUACAACUAGUACUAUUCUUGUCUCUUUCAUCCCCACACCCUGCUAAGGAAAACAAAUAAAGGGAUAAGGUAAAAAUCUAGUGAGGUUUCAAGUAUCAUGCAAGCAAAGUACCAAUCUUAGAGCAAGUAAGAAAAUGGUAACUAAAUAAAACAAUAACAAGCAACUAGGAAACAAGUAGCACUUUCAAAUCGAAGGAUACAUUUCCCUCAUAUUGGCUGCUUAACUCGUAAUCGUUGACAUUCCGUAAACCUUGGAAUACACUGUCAAGUCUAGUAGAUCACCACUUCACACCAUCUCCAACCACCGAUCAUCCGCCUUACCGAGCCAGCACGCCAAUCAAGUACAAGUGGGAUAAUACUCGAAUAUACCAAGGCCAAUAACAAGAUAUAAGACCCAUGGUUUAUCGGUCACCUUGACCAAAUCCUUACUGGCUCGAUUUGACCAACUAACCAAUGGGGAUGGGAUCCCAAAACAAGUAUAGUCGGUGAAAUAAUAACUCCAACCGGCUUUCAAGUCAUGCACGGAUAUAUCGGUUCACAAGUAAACAAGUCAACAAAAAUUCAAACAAGUUAGUUGAGUGCGAUAAAGUACACAUUCGCCUUUUCAAUAUCAAAUCAAGAUAUCUAGUAACAAGUCACAUAGUUCAAGUCAUGCAGUUGAAACACUCACCAAAAUAAAUGGACAAUCACAUCUCGAUUUUAGGAUUUUCUUAACUCACUACUGACUCUUGAAACACAUCCAAGCUAUAAUUACACUUAUCAUCUUGAUCAAAACAAGUAAAAAACACAGAAGAUCCAAUUUUAAAGUUAUCAAACGUGUAGGUUAAAAGGUAUAGGAUUUUGCAACCAAAUGCAUGAAUAUAAGUGUGAGGAUCAAAAACAACCUAAGAGGGGGGUGAAUUAGGUAGGUUGAAAAUUGGCCAAAUUAUGAGUCACUUUUUGAGUACUUGCCCUCUUUUUCUAAAAGACCACACAAUGGAGCAAUGAAUGAGAAAGCACAAGUGCUUAUGAGUAGAAGAGAUGAGCAAUUUAUUUAUCAAGAUAGAAAGUAAAAGAGAUAGAGUAUCAAGCCAAAUACCAAACUCCUCUUGAGUUUGAAUGUCACUUUAAAGAGCAAGCUUCUUCAAGUUGAUCAACUUACAACCAAUCUUUUGUGUACAAAGGAAGGAUCACUUCCUCCUUGCCCCAAGCCACACUUGGUCAAGCAAGGAAGUUUUACUAUUACUCGGAUAACCCUCACAGAGCUACACUUUAAAUGUUGUUCAGAAGAUUAAUGGCAAAGAAGUGGAUCUGUCCUUAAUUGGUAACCACAUUCACUGUUGGACGAUUUUGGCUUCAUUAAAAUCACACAUGUGAAGAGACCAAAUAAUGUACCUGCCCAUAUUAUGUCAAAAUUGGCUUUGUUUCUUGAAGAAAGUAGUGUUUGGUUUGUAAACUUUCCCAAGAUAGUAACUGAAGCUGCUCUUGCAGAUUUGGUACAAAUGAAUAUGUUUCUGUUGCUUCAAAAAAAAAAGAGCAAAUUUAAGGGAAAAAAAAACAACAACAACGACAAAGCAAUGGUACUUUUAUGAUUUAUCAAACGGCAAAGAAAACAAAGGUAUUAUGACCAAUCUAAUCAGCAUAAGCAGCAAUAUUGUCCAUUAUCUCUGCAACAAUCUCUUUAGACUCCCUCAGCAACUUGAUGCUUCUAUUCAAUCUGUAACGUUUAUCAGCAAUAGAUGGAGAUUCCUCCAGCAUCCGCUCCAAUCCACCCCCGUGAUGUCCUAUUAACUCAUUCACCAUUUUGGUUUCCAUGUCUUUGUUCACCAGCUUUUGGAUGCUGAAGAGUAAAUGCAAAGCCAUGCUAUCAACCAACCUCCUCAGAACAAUCUUCCAAUAAGCAAUCAUCCUCAUUUUCAGGUCAAAAGCUUGUUCUGCAACAACCAGAUGUUUUCUCAGAUGCCCGACUUCAACCUCACCAAUUCCAUUAAUCUCUAGAGUUGUUGUCUUCCAACGAUCAUUGAUAAUGUCCAUGAAUGUGUCCUGGCUUUCCAUCAGCUUAUGCCAGGUUGCAGUGUACUCAGGAUUACAAGUAUAAUCAGUGAGUUUCUCCAUUUCGAUGAUCUGCAGUACCCAAUCAAUUGACUGCUCCCUUUUUUCGGAAACAAGAUUUUGGGCAGCUCUUCUGAUUGAAGACUGAAGUUGUGGUAGUUUUCAGAGUGCUUCAUCAAGACAGGAACAAACACCCCUUGUAAAUACUCCCAAAACUGCUUCACAAAUUUAGCUGGUGUAGCAGAAAUGGCAUUGACCAUUUUUUGCAGUGAAGUGAGAAAAGCAGUGCGCUGAAGGAAAUUAGGUAAGCUUAUACCUUUAGCUUCCUCC